AGAGUUUGAUCCUGGCUCAGAUUGAACGCUGGCGGCAUGCCUUACACAUGCAAGUCGAACGGCAGCACGGGAGCAAUCCUGGUGGCGAGUGGCGAACGGGUGAGUAAUGUAUCGGAACGUACCUUUCAGUGGGGGAUAACGUAGCGAAAGUUACGCUAAUACCGCAUAUUCUGUGAGCAGGAAAGCAGGGGAUCGCAAGACCUUGCGCUGAUUGAGCGGCCGAUAUCAGAUUAGCUAGUUGGUGAGGUAAAGGCUCACCAAGGCGACGAUCUGUAGCGGGUCUGAGAGGAUGAUCCGCCACACUGGAACUGAGACACGGUCCAGACUCCUACGGGAGGCAGCAGUGGGGAAUUUUGGACAAUGGGCGCAAGCCUGAUCCAGCCAUGCCGCGUGAGUGAAGAAGGCCUUCGGGUUGUAAAGCUCUUUCAGCCGGGAAGAAAACGCAUGGGUUAAUACCCUGUGUGGAUGACGGUACCGGAAUAAGAAGCACCGGCUAACUACGUGCCAGCAGCCGCGGUAAUACGUAGGGUGCGAGCGUUAAUCGGAAUUACUGGGCGUAAAGCGUGCGCAGGCGGUUUGUUAAGAUAGGCGUGAAAUCCCCGGGCUCAACCUGGGAACUGCGUUUAUAACUGGCAGGCUAGAGUAUGGCAGAGGGGGGUGGAAUUCCACGUGUAGCAGUGAAAUGCGUAGAGAUGUGGAGGAACACCGAUGGCGAAGGCAGCCCCCUGGGCCAAUACUGACGCUCAUGCACGAAAGCGUGGGUAGCAAACAGGAUUAGAUACCCUGGUAGUCCACGCCCUAAACGAUGUCAACUAGGUGCUGGGUGGGUAAAACCAUUUAGUACCGGAGCUAACGCGUGAAGUUGACCGCCUGGGGAGUACGGCCGCAAGGUUAAAACUCAAAGGAAUUGACGGG
rnacentral:rRNA from 1 species